UAGAGCGUCUGAGGAUACACACCUAGCUUUUCCUUCAUCACCAGAGCACAGACCUUUGAGAAGAAAGUGGCAUUCUUCUAGAUAAUUUUUUUCUUAUUUGCUUUAACCCUAAUGUUUACUCAUCAGAACUAAAUCUGCCCUUCAGGGUUGGUGCAUAGCUACCAUGGUCACAAGGUAGAAGUGGAUCUGGGAUCCUGAUCUCACAAACCUCUGAAAUACAGUGUCUCCUAUUGUACCUGAAGCUCUGACCAGUGAGAUGCCCUUUGAAACAAAGGCAAGAGAAGGGAUAAAGGGGGUCAGGGUCACCAGAGUUCCUCAGGAACAAAUAUGCUAGACUUUUUCUUGGGUCUGAGAAUGGAAGCUGGAAGGAGGGAAAGCCAAGUUCCAGAGUUGGACGAACUGAGAGUGAGAAAACCCUUCAGGAGGUGAAUGCAGAGAAGAAACGAAGCUUUAUUCAGAAGGGAAUUCAAACUGAGCCCGAUACCAGAACAUACAGAAGAAUCCUUGACUACUAGUGAGAGUGAUAUAAGAAGUGAUGAAAAAAAGAGAGAACACCAUACAAGGGAAAAGCAAUAAAAGGCGCAUUUUAUCAUGCUUCAGGUGUUUCUUAUGGCUAAGUAGAAAACAGAAAAGAGUACAACAAGAAAAGCCAGUUUUGUCAGACACUCAAAGAACCAGGGAUGAAUCCAGAAAAAAUAUUCCAGCAGUCACAGCAGCCACAGGUUACACUACUUUAUCAUGUUUAGCUACUAAAAAUAGUAGGAAAAAUCGAAGGAAUAAAAU